rnacentral:lncRNA from 1 species
AGCCGUCUUUUUUCAUCAGAAUAGUAAAUGAGCCUCCCCUUUCACUCUCAGAACUCCUCAAAUCUCACCCGCUUCCCUGACCCUCACCUUCUCCUUUUCCCUAGGAAAAGUCUAGGUUCUCAGUUUGUUACACAGAGCACUUCAGCAUGUUAAAAAUAACCCUUCUUUCCUAGCAGGAGGAGUCAUCAUUUAUACUCAAAGAGGACUACCAGCCCCCUGGUACAUAGUUGUAUAUUUUUAGUUGUGGGUCCUUCUAGCUGUGGCAUGUGGGACGCCACCUUAGCGUGGCUUGAUGAGCAGUGCCAUGUCCACGUCCAGGAUUCGAACGCCGAAACACUGGGCCACCUGCAGCGGAGCGCGCGAACUUAACCACUCGGCUAACGGGCCGGCCCCCAUAGGCAUUCUCACGUGGCUGUGAUGUUCUGAAAUGACAGUGUCCUCUGAACCUGUUUGUGGAGUUAAAGGAGGACUAGAAGCUUCACUGGGCACUGUUCUGCACGAUAUCAACAUCAACAAAAACAACAAACCUGCUGUUUUUACCGAUUAUUUCCGAACUAGCUAUUCCAGGCCACACACUCACAAACCAAGUUCUCCUUUGAUGACCCCUAUGUUGAAACAAAAGGUGGCGGUGAGUUAUGCAGCACCAGCCCUCAGGAACUGCCCAAGGGCCCUCAUUGCAACAAUCUGAUAACCACAGAAAGUACAGAGCAGUACCUCCCGGC